UCCCCAAGCGUACAACUGGCUUUAAGUGGCUCAGCUGCUUUUCUGCAUUUGAGUGACAGUGGCAUUAAGGCAGCACAGAAUCCCAACUAUUCAUCUUUUCUGGCUAGAGCAGCUGUCUUUCAGUAACAGCUAGAGGAAUGCAGCUCUCCUCUAUGACACUGAUGUCAGGCAAGCUAAGAUAGGAAGGAUAAUAGGUUCAUGCAUAGAGGAUUACAUUAUUUCCUUUAACUAAACAACUGACUAAGGAUGGAAGUGUUAGCCCCUGAGAAGAAAAAACAUGAAGAGAAUGAAGAUUUGCAACAGUAUCCUCAGAAGCCUGCAAGCUGUAAGAAAAUGCUUAGGAAUUGCUGCUUGAUAAAGCGAAUUUUUGCCUGGAAAAGUUUGAGCUCUAAAGUGACUUCUAUGAUGAAUGACUCUCAUCCUGCUGCAUCCACUUGAAUAAUGAUGGCGAACUUGGGACACCUCAGUGCACAAUACUGUCAAGUCAAGAAGUCCACAGAAGAGCUAUUAAAAUAGAUACAGCAGAGACUGUGAUUUAAGAGGACUCUUACUUUUAUGACAGUCAAGGAGCAACUGAAGAGAGAUCUGAUGAUGGUCAUCUACUUGUGGCAGCUGUUUAUUAUGCUCUAUCGUAAACAUCUCACUGUUACCUUGUGCUCACCCAUCUGUUUGUUUCUGCCCAUCUGUUAUUGUUUGCCAUGUGCUUAGGUUGUAAAUAUCACUGUUGUUUGAAAUAAAAAGGUUAAUAAUCCUUUGAUUAAAAAAAAA
rnacentral:lncRNA from 1 species